rnacentral:lncRNA from 10 species
AGUAGCACCCCCAUUCUACCUCCAAGUGUGACAACCAGAAAUUUUUCCAGCCAAUGCCAAAUGUUUUCUGGGGCACAAAAAUCACCACCGGUUGAGAACCACUGGUUAUAUGAUUAGACGGAAAGAAAAAGAGAAAAAGAAAGAUGCCUGGCUAGGCCAAUUAGAGAUCUUAGAUAAUUACUAUAUGCAUGCAACAUUAGAUAGUUUUAUUUUCAUUAAACUUUUAAAUCUUUUAAAAUCUCUUACAGACCCUACUUUGAAGCUAGCUUGAUAUAAUGCUAAUGUGACCUUGAACGAUUUCUUUCUUCCUGAGUUUGCCUACUAGUAUAGCUUAAAGAUCCAAGUUACACUAUUACUCACUUAUAUCAUAGCCAGCAUUGCUUGAUCAGAUUAUCAGAUAGAUACAGUAUCACGGAGACAAAAUCCUUUCAUUAUGAUGUAAGAUAAAAAAUAUCUUUCAUUAACAACACACGUAAAGGAAGUACCCACUGGACCAACUCAGGUUAGAAGGGUACCAGACCAGAAGAUCAGAUCGUAGAAGUUACUGGAGAAAAAGAUCAGCGGACAGCACUCUUGAACUACAUGCCAGGCCUCUUCUUCCUGGAACUCUAAUGGAUUUAAAUGGCUUAAGAGACGGGAUGAAUUGUUGAAAAUGGUUCUUUCAAAAGACCUCACGGAAGGCCAAAGACAAGACUCACUGAGGCCAAGCUGAUCAACAAUAUCUAUAAGUUGACGCAUUCUAAUCAUGUGGCGAUCUUGACCUUGGGAGCUUGAUUUGUGGACCAGUGUCCCCAAGAAGAUGACCAUCAGACAGAUGACAAUCCUCUCCAUGUUGCCAGGACUGGAUCUCAUAAGUACCAACAGUAGAGCUAGACCUUGGUCUCGUUUUCACUUCAGCUUGACUGAGAACAGGUAUACGUGUGCAUGUGCUAAUGUGUGGGGGCAGGGAUUGAUGGAGUCAACGAAAUGUGCCCCAUCUGCAUCUUUGACAGGAAAAAGAGAGAAUGGGUGAAUUCCAAUUUUCAGCAUGAAUCAAGAAUGUCACCGAUGAAGUUUUUGAAUGCUGUGCUCCUAAUCUCAUUUUCCUCCUCCAGAGACUUCGGUGAAGGAUGAUGCAAACUGUGUUUCUUCAGCAUGUGAGCACCAUCAGCCAUGAGUGUGGCAGCUCCAGAAUGUCUAUACCAGAGUGGCUGAGAGUCAGCAACUUGGCUGGAAGCUACACUUGAAUAGCAAACAAACCACUUUUACUUAGUUUCCAUGUCUAUUUGGUACCUUGGAGUACAGUGAUGAGUUUUACUAGAUGUGGACUUUCCAGGAAUAUAGCCAAGGUCGUCACCAUGAAAGUAUGAAACUUUAGUCAUUUACCCAAGGGGAUUCAUGGACAUAUAUUAAGAAUUUUCUUUAAUGGACUGUGUUUAUAGAACACCUGGUCAGGACGGAAAUGAGGCCAGGGAACUAAAGGGGUAGAAGUCUGAAGAGGAAUGGUUUUGCAUGGGAAAACUGUGCCAGGUCUAAAACUGGGCUGAACACUAUUUGUCCCCAACUCUCUGGCCCGGUCCUCAUAGUUCUUUCUGUGAUCCCUGCGUGGUGAAUACUCCUUUUCUGCUUUCACUGGCUUUGGCCCCUCAUGGAUAGAAUUAGAUGUUCUGCAUGGCAAACUGUGGGAAGAGAGGCCUCCAGUGUUUAGAGUGAUAUUAUCAUGUGUACCACUACUAUUAUACAUACUAAAGGUAUUCAGACAGGUGGCUUGUCUCUGGGCUUUAUAUAGAUCUCUGUCAAGCUAGAAGAAAAAUGUCACUAAAAUAAUUCAAGACAAUUUUUGUACUUUCCAACGAUGUUCAGGUAACAGCUGAAAAUAUUCUCACUUAUUUGACUUGAGGAAGAAAAUUCGAACGAGGAAAAUCAUCAAGGAUUUGCUAAAGUCCCUUCUGUAAAAUCUUCCUUAAGGAAGUUUAAACACUCCUAUUCUCUCUUCUCUCAUUCUUUUGAACUCACUGCAUGUAUUGAUAUCACUGACUUGGUUUGUUUUCUAGAAUAUAUGUAAAAGUAAGAGUGUGUAUAUAUAACCCAUUAUGUACAUAACAAGAACAGUUCCUUCCAAUAUUCAAAUUUCAUGACUCUAGAUCACUACUGUGCAUUCUAAGAAGGUCAGGGACUCAUGGAGACCAAAGGGUCAAUCCUGGUCAUUGUUGUCUUACGAGAGAAAAACAAGAGCCUUCUCGGGCCCCGUGUUCUCUAGCUCUUGAUGUGGCCUCUUCGGUAUCACUGGCAGCCCCACAGUCUGGUGGUCAGUGUGUCGCAGCAGAGGGUCAUUCACCGAUGCUGCUUAUCCACAGCACCUUUUCUGUGGGGAAUGGGGGCCUCUAUUCUGCUAGUAGACUCAGGUGUGUCACUCUGUGAUACUCUUAAGACUGGGUUCAUUGAGGACAGGUCUCUUUGCUAACAUUCACACAAAGUCAUUGUUUGGAAGCACAGUCCUGCUUCUGAAAUGCUAGGUCUGGAGGAGUUCCAGCAGCAGCCACAUGGGCCCUCUCCUCAGAUCUUGGCUCCAACAUGGGAUACUCAGCAGUGAGGCUAGAGAUCAGAUGUCCUUCAUUCCUUGACCACUAAGCCUAGAGGAUGGAGAGAAAGAAGUGGAACAUCUGCACUCUUCAACCUGAGUCCACUCCAACUCCAUCCCACAAGGGAACUGCCUCCAUUGCUGAUGUUGGAUUAAACAGAACAGCCUGUGCAGUUAGUUCAUGGAUUCCAUAAAGGGACUGGACCUUAAUGAAGACGUUCCUGACAUGGGUUUGGGCAAGAAGAUAUUAUAAUUUUGCAAAUGAAGAAACUGAGAUACAGAAAUGACAUCCAGCACCCUCAGUGUCACACAGAGAGUAAAUGGACUGGCCUGAACCAGGCUGCCUCCUGGAACUGGUUUCUUUGGUUGGUUGAAUCCAUGGAUGGAGAACUCGUGGAUACAAGGGCUGACUAUAAUGAGAAGAUAUGAAAGCUGAAAAGACAAACAUUACUACAUAUUUACAUAUGUCCAAAGAAGAAGGUUCAUCUCCACGUGGACCUCCCUAUAGAGCUUCUUGAAUGGCCUCACAACAUGGCGGCUGGCUUCCCACAGAGUGAGCAAUCCAAGAUUUCCUUGAUUCAGAGAAAGAAGAUAAAAACACAUACAAAGAGACGGCACCAGCUCCUUUCCCAGUUGUGACCAGAUUGCACGAUACCCAAGCCAUGGCUCCAAAGAGUGCGUGUACUGAAGCCUGGCCAUUCAUGACAGACUCAUUUCCACACCUGAGUCCGGUUUUGCUCUGUGAGUGUUGGGCUUUCUCCAAGGGAAUGGUUGGAGCUGUUGCGAGCGAACUUCCUGGCUGCCACAGAGUUGAUUGGAUUCCUUGGAAAUGCACACUCACAGGCUGCUGCUCUUUGAAGCUGUCUCCUUCACUGGCCAUGAUUCUCCUGUCUCAUUAGCUGUUGCCUAUGACCCUGGUGUCGUUUUCUCCUUUUACUCAUCAACACCCAAAUCCACAGGGUUGUGAUGGAUUAGCAGCCUUUCUUAUUAGCAAGAAGCCCUGUGGCCUCAAGAGGCAAAAUGAAUCGUGGUUAGAAAUCUCCAUCUCCUCCCUCCCUUGGUAUAAUGCCAUCAUUUAACUAUCUGAAAAUAGAGAAGACUCCGUUCCAAUUGUAAAGCCCUAAGGAGAAAAACUGAGUUUGAAACUUUCCUUAAUUAUGCUGAUAUUUAACAAUAAACUUUGUAGUAUGAAAA